rnacentral:rRNA from 1 species
AUGGGUAAUCAGAGCGCAAGCCCAAGGCGCAGCGGCGAUCAGCGCCAGCCUGUGCGCCGUCGGGGGAAUGCUCCAUCCUGGGGUGGAGGUGGCCAUUUGAGCAACCCCCAAGCUCAAGUUCAUCAUACCGUUAUAGCCCCAUCCCCCCAAACCAACACAGUGGGGUUGAAUACGACAUCGUUGGGUGGAGGUGUGUGUUCUCUCAUCAUUCAGGGUCAUCAUACAUACGUAGCAUCAACUCCUGAGAAUAACACAACAACUGGGGGGAAUGCUCCAUCCCGGGGUGGAGGUGGCCAUCAGAGCAACCCCCAAGCUCAAGUUCAUCACACCAUUAUAGCCCCAUCCCUCCAAACCAGCACAAUGGGGUUGAAUGCGCCAUCGUUGAGUGGAGGUGUGCGUUCUCUCAUCAUGCAGGGUCAUCAUACACACAUAGCAUCAACUCCUGAGAAUAACACAACAACUGAUGCACCAACCGUUGGACCAGAAAACAGAGCUAUCCAUGUGCCCGGUGAAAAUCCGCGUGGCGAGUCAUGA